rnacentral:rRNA from 1 species
CCUACGGGAGGCAGCAGUGAGGAAUAUUGGUCAAUGGGCGCGAGCCUGAACCAGCCAAGUAGCGUGAAGGAUGAAUGCCCUACGGGUUGUAAACUUCUUUUAUAAAGGAAUAAAGUGAGGCACGUGUGCCUUUUUGUAUGGACUUUAUGAAUAAGGAUCGGCUAACUCCGUGCCAGCAGCAGCGGUAAUACGGAGGAUCCGCGCGUUAUCCGGAUUUAGUGGGUUUAAAGGGAGCGGAGAUGGGUUGUUAAGUCAGGUGUGAAAGUUUGCGGCUCAACCGUAAAAUUGCAAUUGAUACUGGCAGUCUUGAGUACAGUUGAGGUAGGCGGAAUUCGUGGUGUAGCGGUGAAAUGCUUAGAUAUCACGAAGAACUCCGAUUGCGAAGGCAGCUUACUAAACUGCCACUGACAUUGAUGCUCGAAAGUGUGGGUAUCAAACAGGAUUAGAUACCCCGGUAGUC